rnacentral:rRNA from 1 species
AGAGUUUGAUCCUGGCUCAGAUUGAACGCUGGCGGCAGGCUUAACACAUGCAAGUCGAGCGGUAACAGGGGGAGCUUGCUUCCCGCUGACGAGCGGCGGACGGGUGAGUAAUGCUUAGGAAUCUGCCCAGUAGUGGGGGAUAGCCCGGGGAAACCCGGAUUAAUACCGCAUACGUCCUACGGGAGAAAGCAGGGGAUCUUCGGACCUUGCGCUAUUGGAUGAGCCUAAGUCGGAUUAGCUAGUUGGUGGGGUAAAGGCCUACCAAGGCGACGAUCCGUAGCUGGUCUGAGAGGAUGAUCAGCCACAUCGGGACUGAGACACGGCCCGAACUCCUACGGGAGGCAGCAGUGGGGAAUAUUGGACAAUGGGGGCAACCCUGAUCCAGCCAUGCCGCGUGUGUGAAGAAGGCUUUCGGGUUGUAAAGCACUUUCAGUAGGGAGGAAAACCUUAUGGCUAAUACCCAUGAGGCUUGACGUUACCUACAGAAGAAGCACCGGCUAACUCCGUGCCAGCAGCCGCGGUAAUACGGAGGGUGCAAGCGUUAAUCGGAAUUACUGGGCGUAAAGCGCGCGUAGGUGGUUUGGUAAGCGAGAUGUGAAAGCCCCGGGCUUAACCUGGGAACGGCAUUUCGAACUGUCAGACUAGAGUGUGGUAGAGGGUAGUGGAAUUUCCUGUGUAGCGGUGAAAUGCGUAGAUAUAGGAAGGAACACCAGUGGCGAAGGCGGCUACCCGGACCAACACUGACACUGAGGUGCGAAAGCGUGGG